rnacentral:rRNA from 1 species
UACGGAGGAUGCAAGCGUUAUCCGGAAUGAUUGGGCGUAAAGCGUCCGCAGGUGGCAAUGUAAGUCUGCUGUCAAAGCGUCUGGCUCAACCAGAUACAGGCAGUGGAAACUACAUAGCUAGAGUAAGGUAGGGGUAGAGGGAAUUCCUGGUGUAGCGGUGAAAUGCGUAGAGAUCAGGAAGAACGCCGGUGGCGAAGGCGCUCUGCUGGACCUUCACUGACACUGAGGGACGAAAGCUAGGGGAGCGAAUGGG